rnacentral:rRNA from 1 species
UACGUGAGGGGCAAGCGUUGUCCGGAUUUAUUGGGCGUAAAGGAGCGUGUAGGCGGCCUAGACAGGUCUGCUGUGAAAACUCGAACGGCUCAACCUCGAGACGACCGGUGGAAACCGGUCUGGCUAGAGUCCGGAAGAGGAGAGUGGAAUUCCGUGGUGUAGCGGUGAAAUGCGCAGAUAUCAGGAAGAACACCCGUGGCUAAGGCGGCUCUCUAGUACGGUACUGACGCUGAGACGACG